GUUUUCCGCGCCGUAGCUAACGCAUUAAGUGCCCCGCCUGGGGAGUACGGCCGCAAGGCUAAAACUCAMAGGAAUUGACGGGGGCCCGCACAAGCGGCGGAGCAUGCUGAUUAAUUCGAUGCAACGCGAARAACCUUACCAAGGYUUGACAUGYACUGGACGGCUGCASAGAUGUGGCUUUCUUUGGACUGGUGCACAGGUGGUGCAUGGUUGUCGUCAGCUCGUGUCGUGAGAUGUUGGGUUAAGUCCCGCAACGAGCGCAACCCUCGUUCUAUGUUGCCAGCMCGUGAUGGUGGGGACUCAUAGGAGACUGCCGGGGUCAACUCGGAGGAAGGUGGGGACGACGUCMAAUCAUCAUGCCCCUUAUGUCUUGGGCUUCAAGCAUGCUACAAUGGUCGGUACAWUGGGUUGCGAAACUGUGAGGUGGAGCGAAUCCCAAAAAGCCCGGCCUCAGUUCGGAUUGGGGUCUGCAACUCGACCCCCAUGAAGUCGGAGUCSCUAGUMAWUCGCASAUCAGCAACCGCUGCGGUGAAUACGUUYCCGGGCCUUGUACACACCGCCCGUCAAGUCACSAAAAGUCGGUAACACCCGAAGCCAGUGSCCCAUCCUC
rnacentral:rRNA from 1 species